CCAGUCCCACCAAGACCAAAGCCUAGCCAGCAGGUCAGUAGUGAAGCCCAGGUGCGAUCUUGGUAACAAGGUGUGCGGAGCAAGGGUGGAGCGAGAGUGUAGGCCAUCUAUUGAGCCCCGAAAUAUUGUAGAGUCGCGGUCACUGGAUAACCGUCGAACGACGGGAAAGCCGACGGACUGCAGCGUACCGGAAGGCAACAGUCUCAGCAGUGCCAUGGCAAGCUGCUGCGACACCGCCGGGGUCUGGGAACA
rnacentral:ncRNA from 1 species